CUGAACAGAGUAGAAGUGCGCGCGUGUGUAGUGUUAGUAUUGUGAAGGUAAAAUUGUGAAGCCUUUUGUGUGGUGAAAUUGUUAAAAUCUAAGUUUGUUCUCUUUUUGUGUUAGGUCUUAAAGCUAUUGUUAGUAGAAUGAAAGGAAUAGAAAAGUUUUAGUAAACAUGCAUAAUACAAAAAUUAGUACGCUAAAACGCAAAAGUUACUGUCCUUAAACUAAGUGACAAACAACAAAUAAUUUGAAGACAAACAAACAAGAAAAAGGUCCGGAAAGUGGACCUUUUUCUUCCGACCUUUCUUCUAUUUUAAACAGAAGUGUCCGGAGGCCGAUUUCCCGGAUACCAUCGCGUACCUCGCCGAUCGAACGCCGUCAUUAACAAUUCCGCCAUCUUUGUCACCAGUGACUGGCAAAACACAGCUACCAACCGUCAUCCCGGUAGCUCAAUUCCGCCAUCGUAGUCCUCGUCGACUGGCAACAGCACCAUUACCAUCCCCACCCCGGUGGUCUGAUUCCGCCAUCUCCGUCACCAUUGACUGGCCAAAUCCCACCACGAACAUCGUUAUCCGGUGGUACACUUCCGCCAUCUUCGUCAACAUUGACUGGCCACGCCACCACUACCAUCGUUACCGGUAGUAUGAUUCCGCCAUAUUCGUCAUAAUUGACUGGCCAGAACGGUAGCUUUCGCCCGGAGGCGACCAAACACUACCCAAGAAUGGACUCUGGUUCAGUCAGACGACUGAGUGUCAGAGUAAUGUGUCAAUAUAUGGAGCCAAUUCUCAUACACCUGU